GUGGGGAAUUUUCCGCAAUGGGCGAAAGCCUGACGGAGCAACGCCGCGUGAGGGAUGAAGGCCUCUGGGCUGUAAACCUCUUUUAUCAAGGAAGAAGAUCUGACGGUACUUGAUGAAUAAGCCACGGCUAAUUCCGUGCCAGCAGCCGCGGUAAUACGGGAGUGGCAAGCGUUAUCCGGAAUUAUUGGGCGUAAAGCGUCCGCAGGCGGCCUUUUAAGUCUGUCGUUAAAGCGUGGAGCUUAACUCCAUUUAAGCGAUGGAAACUGGAAGGCUAGAGUGUGGUAGGGGCAGAGGGAAUUCCCGGUGUAGCGGUGAAAUGCGUAGAUAUCGGGAAGAACACCAGUGGCGAAGGCGCUCUGCUGGGCCAUAACUGACGCUCAUGGACGAAAGCCAGGGGAGCGAAAGGG
rnacentral:rRNA from 1 species